rnacentral:rRNA from 1 species
UAACACGUGAGCAACCUGCCUUUCANAGGGGGAUAACAGUUGGAAACGACUGCUAAUACCGCAUAACGCUGCGAUGGGGCAUCCCGAUGCAGCCAAAGGAGCAAUCCGCUGGAAGAUGGGCUCGCGGCCGAUUAGCUAGUUGGUGGGGCAACGGCCCACCAAGGCGACGAUCGGUAGCCGGACUGAGAGGUUGAUCGGCCACAUUGGGACUGAGACACGGACCAGACUCCUACGGGAGGCAGCAG